rfam:Aspergillus ustus strain 3.3904 ATSC_58, whole genome shotgun sequence.
GGCAAGGUGGCCGAGCGGUCUAAGGCGCGCGGUUAAGGUUUCCCAAUUCGGAUCCCUCAUCUGAUCUUCAUCAGUUUCCGCGUCAUUAAUUUGGCGUGGGUUCGAAUCCCACCCUUGUCA